CCUAUAAGACUGGGAUAACUUCGGGAAACCGGAGCUAAUACCGGAUAACAUUUAGAACCGCAUGGUUCUAAAGUGAAAGAUGGUUUUGCUAUCACUUAUAGAUGGACCCGCGCCGUAUUAGCUAGUUGGUAAGGUAACGGCUUACCAAGGCGACGAUACGUAGCCGACCUGAGAGGGUGAUCGGCCACACUGGAACUGAGACACGGUCCAGACUCCUACGGGAGGCAGCAGUAGGGAAUCUUCCGCAAUGGGCGAAAGCCUGACGGAGCAACGCCGCGUGAGUGAUGAAGGGUUUCGGCUCGUAAAACUCUGUUAUUAGGGAAGAACAAAUGUGUAAGUAACUGUGCACAUCUUGACGGUACCUAAUCAGAAAGCCAUGGCUAACUACGUGCCAGCAGCCGCGGUAAUACGUAGGUGGCAAGCGUUAUCCGGAAUUAUUGGGCGUAAAGCGCGCGUAGGCGGUUUCUUAAGUCUGAUGUGAAAGCCCACGGCUCAACCGUGGAGGGUCAUUGGAAACUGGGAAACUUGAGUGCAGAAGAGGAAAGUGGAAUUCCAUGUGUAGCGGUGAAAUGCGCAGAGAUAUGGAGGAACACCAGUGGCGAAGGCGACUUUCUGGUCUGUAACUGACGCUGAUGUGCGAAAGCGUGGGGAUCAAACAGGAUUAGAUACCCUGGUAGUCCACGCCGUAAACGAUGAGUGCUAAGUGUUAGGGGGUUUCCGCCCCUUAGUGCUGCAGCUAACGCAUUAAGCACUCCGCCUGGGGAGUACGACCGCAAGGUUGAAACUCAA
rnacentral:rRNA from 1 species